rnacentral:rRNA from 1 species
UACGGAGGGUGCAAGCGUUAUCCGGAUUCACUGGGUUUAAAGGGUGCGUAGGCGGGCAGGUAAGUCCGUGGUGAAAUCUCCGGGCUUAACCCGGAAACUGCCAUUGAUACUAUGUGUCUUGAAUACUGUGGAGGUCAGCGGAAUAUGUCAUGUAGCGGUGAAAUGCUUAGAUAUGACAUAGAACACCAAUUGCGAAGGCAGCUGGCUACACAAAUAUUGACACUGAGGCACGAAAGCGUGGGGAUCAAGCAGG